UUUGCCACUGCAAGCACCACUCACAUUUUCUUCAGGAAAUGUACAUUCUAGUUAGAUAUAUUAGACCCUGCCUUAAUGUCUGAGUUCCAUGCUGCCCAUCCCGAUCUUCCGGCACCUCGGGGCAGAGGUAGACCACUAUGACGUCGAGGUAUUCGGCCCUCAGGAGUGGGUCGUGGAGGAGGGGGUACUGUAACAGAUCGACCAGGCUCCACCACCACCCAAUCACAGCGAUCCCUAUCACCUGAGUACUGAGCACUUGCACCUGUCACCCACCAGCACCUCGUCAACUGGCCUGUAUAUAAGCACACACCUCAGACACCCUCAUUGUCUAAUCUCGUACACACGUAAAGGGCUCUCUGACUUUGCGAUCAACAAAACAGUGUUUGUGGGGGAAACGUUUACACUUCACUGCAACAAAACUGUGGGAGAUCAAACUAUCACAUUGAGAUUGAACAACACCAUUAUUUUAGUCAUGAUUCCUACAGUAACAGAACACUGAGAAACUUCUGCUCCAACGGGAUUCACAUCGACUCGGCAGCUCCAAGAGAAUUAACAAUACAUCAAAUACAAGCAUCUGAUGCAGGAAACUACAGCUGUUACCCAGCAGCAAUAAGAUGGACAUUAACAGUAACAGGAAACUAAAGCAGAUAAAGAUUAACUCUGAUCUCUGUGAAAGAGACCAGGAGUGUGUCUACAGCCUUCACACAGUUUCAUGAACAUGAUCUUUCCUUUUCAAGACAGCAGUGUGUCUGACAUUCAUCAGAAGAGCAUCUCAAUACAGAAAGAUGUUGUAACUUUGUAAUGAAUACAGUCUCAGAGGAUCUGUUUGUACUGUGUUUGUACAUGUGUAUUUGUCCCUGAAAAUUUUAUUUAAUGGUCUGAUUUUUUUUUUUUUUAUGUUAAACAAAUAAAUGGGCCAGGUACACUGUACUGCUGUCAUUUUCAGACUUUAAACUUUAAACUUUAAUAUGCCUAAUAUCAACAAUACAGAAAAGAUCUGACAGGGUAAAGAGUGUCUGCAAGGUGAUUUAUUGCAAAGAACUAAUUACCAAAUGUGAAUGUGCGGAAAUAAUUUCAGACUAUUAUAUUUGACAUAUUGCUGUUGUGACUAUAGUCAGAACAGACUUCACAAGCUCUUGAGUUCUUACUGUCGGAAAACACAGGGUGGCGCCAUAACAAACACUGAGCUGAAGUAAUGCAGCAUUACAGGAGAGUCCUACUGAAAAUUGUGUUGUCACAAAACAGAAAGGAAGCAAGAAGCAUUCAACAUAUUUCACCUUCCUCAUGA